GUGGUGCCUGGAAAGCGGGCACGCCCGGUUCUGAGGGGGCGGGGACGCAGCAAUGCGUCCCCGCUACCCGACGGUUCCACAUCCAGUGGCGCCGCA
rnacentral:tRNA from 1 species